rnacentral:tRNA from 1 species
GCCGAUGUAGCUCAGUUGGUAGAGCACGUCAUUGGUAAUGACGAGGUCU